UACGUAGGGUCCGAGCGUUGUCCGGAGUUACUGGGCGUAAAGCGCGCGCAGGCGGCCAUUCAAGUCUGGCGUGAAAGCCCCCGGCUCAACCGGGGAGGGUCGUCGGAGACUGGGCGGCUUGAGGGCGGUAGGGGCUGGUGGAAUUCCCGGUGUAGUGGUGAAAUGCGUAGAGAUCGGGAGGAACACCCGUGGCGAAGGCGGCCAGCUGGGCCGUCCCUGACGCUGAGGCGCGAAGGCGUGGGGAGCGAACGGG
rnacentral:rRNA from 1 species